GUGACAUUAUAGAUUUUCAUGAAUACGCAAAGAAUUGCAUAUCAUUUCAAUGAUAGGUAGAAGAGAACAGUUACAGCAGAGAGAUGGGGGGAGGGGGCACCACACUAAAAAGAUACACAUCCUAAACACUCGCCUAGCCCAAACACUAGCCACUGAUGGCAAAGAGAAGGACGCAUGGCACACAAACCGCGCAAGACCAACACAUGAAACCUCCAUCGCGCAGCCACCACCCCAACACAAACCAAAUCAACGUACCCCCACCUUAUGCGCCUAAAGGAGUUGGCAAGUAGGAUGCAGAACUCGGUCGUGCCGCAGGAGAAAGCGCUCGAGGAAGUGCCAGUGAUUUCGUACAUUGCACCAUGAUAGCCCACGCCCUGGGAAGCAGCCAGACCAAGCACGGUGUCCAACAUCACAAUCCAAUGUCGGAGACUUCACAAGCACCAAGAUAACGCCUUCAUGAAGGGUGCCACGUCGUGACGCCGCCACUGUCUGAUCCAGCAAACUGGACCAAGGGUUUCCCCUGGCACUCAAGGGGCAUGGUAGAGAUGCCAUGGUAGCGCCUUCAAGAAGGGGACGACACCCACGGGUGUCGCCACUACCAGCAUCGGCGCAGGGCUUUCACCUGGCCAGAGACCGAACAAUCCCAAAGAAGCUUGCCGGAGUCGGAGACGCGGACAUGAAAAUGCUGGCUGGAGCAUCCACCACAGGAAGGAGAGACGUGCCCACAAGACCCACCACCACUCGGCACCGCCCUCACUGUAGCGCAGGCACCCGAGCCGCCACAGACAGAUCUGGGCAGAGAAGACCCAGAUCUGCCUCCACCAGCAAAAAAUGGCCAUCCCGAAGAGGAGGAUGGGCCGUACCGCCUGAAAAGACGCGGAACCAGGCCAAGGCCUGGCCGCAGCACACACCGAAGGCUGGUAGCCGACAGCGGAAGCAGGCAGCCGGAGGACGGGGCUGGAACUCCACCGUAGACACGCGCCAAGCUGCGCAGUAGCGCCGAACGAGGCCGAAUCCGGCAGCUCCGCAGAGGAGCCAUGGAUCUGGCGGGGGAGGAUGGACCUGAGGGACGGUGACCCGGAGUUGGAGGGGAACUGGCCGACCAGAGGAUGGCAGACGAAGUGGCCGGAGCAGGGGCCAUGCCAGCGCCGAUGAACAACCGGACUAGCGGGGCGGGAAGCAGUCGUCAGAGAGGAUCAUCCCAAGCCGCACCGGAGUGGAUCUCAGAGUGGAGGGGGAGGGGCAAAACGGGAUGAACGGAUCUGUGCCGCCGCCGCCAUCCUGGGGCUCGGCACAGCUUCACCGGCAAGCCCUCCGGCGAUGGCAAAGCGAGGAGGGGCGGAGGAGGUUCCUAACGGCGGCGGCGGUAGGGUUUCCCCCGUGUCGCAUGUGGUGGCGACGCAGGGGUCGGGUAUCUCUCCCUCUCUCUCUCCCUCUCCCUCUCCCUCUCCCCCCAGGCGACAUUAUAG
rnacentral:rRNA from 1 species